AUCCAGCUGAAGAGUCCCAAAUAGGACGAAACGCGCGUCCUGGAU
rfam:Schistosoma mansoni strain Puerto Rico chromosome 4, complete genome